rnacentral:rRNA from 1 species
GUGCCAGCAGCCGCGGUAAUACGGAGGGUGCAAGCGUUGUUCGGAUUUACUGGGCGUAAAGGGCGUGUAGGCGGUUAACUAAGUCAGAUGUGAAAUCCCUUAGCUUAACUAAGGAAGUGCAUUUGAAACUGGCUAACUGGAGUACAGGAGAGGAAAGUGGAAUUCCCAGUGUAGAGGUGAAAUUCAUAGAUAUUGGGAGGAACACCGGUAGCGAAGGCGGCUUUCUGGCCUGAUACUGACGCUGAGACGCGAAAGCGUGGGUAGCAAACAGGAUUAGAAACCCCAGUAGUCC